rnacentral:rRNA from 1 species
CCUACGGGGUGCAGCAGUGAGGAAUAUUGGUCAAUGGGCUUACGCCUGAACCAGCCAAGUCGCGUGAGGGAAGACUGCCCUAUGGGUUGUAAACCUCUUUUGUCAGGGAGCAACGCCGGCUACGUGUAGCCGGACUGAGAGUACCUGAAGAAAAAGCAUCGGCUAACUCCGUGCCAGCAGCCGCGGUAAUACGGAGGAUGCGAGCGUUAUCCGGAUUUAUUGGGUUUAAAGGGUGCGUAGGCGGAAUGCCAAGUCAGCGGUAAAAUCGCGGGGCUCAACCUCGCUCCGCCGUUGAAACUGGCGUGCUUGAGUGGGCGAGAAGUAGGCGGAAUGCGUGGUGUAGCGGUGAAAUGCAUAGAGAUCACGCAGAACUCCGAUUGCGAAGGCAGCAUACCGGCGCCCAACUGACGCUGAAGCACGAAAGCGUGGGUAUCGAACAGGAUUAGAUACCCUUGUAGUC